rnacentral:rRNA from 1 species
GUCUACAGCCAUACCACCCUGAACACGCCCGAUCUCGUCUGAUCUCAGAAGCUAAGCAGGGUCGGGCCUGGUUAGUACUUGGAUGGGAGUAAGUGAUUAUCUUUAUGAAGAAAAAUAAAUGUUGGCA